rnacentral:siRNA from 1 species
ACAAAAAGACAAAGUGGGCUGGC